rnacentral:lncRNA from 1 species
CAUAUCUUUUUUUUUUUCCAUUAACCUUAACUGAAAUUUAGUAUGUUGUUCAAUUUGAAAGUAGGCAACAAGGCACCGUCAUCUUAGCAAAUACGUAUGAGGUCACCAGUGGAAAGCACAGCUGUUUUCAUGCCACGUGACAGUUGUAGAGCCAUCUGAAAAAGCAGUGUAUACUUGUCACAACUUCAAAGACAUGAGACCCGUGGCUAGACAUUGUUUAGUGCUUUCAUAAAGAAGCUCUUAGUGCUCUAUCACAAUGUUAAAUCAUAUUUUAAUAAGUGUAUUUAAAAAUAAUUGAUUUCCUUUGUAGUCCUAAGUGCUCUGUUUUAUGCAUUUAAAAGCAUUAUUCGGAAUUCCCGUCACGGCCCAGGAUCGAACCCGCAUCCUCAUGGAUACUAGUCGGGUUUGUUACCCCUGAGCCACGACGGGAACUCCCCACUCCCCCUUCUUAAUCAGCCCCGGCCGCGCCAGGCCUACCGUCUGGCCCUCCGCAUUCUUCAGCAUAGUGUGGGCACCUGGUCAGUCAGGGUCCAGCGUGUGUCAAAGAGAAUACAGAUCUGACCUCAUUCACAUUUCUUUUAUUUGAAGUUUUAGCCUCUUGAAAGCUGUGGACGGCCUUCAGAAAAUGCACAGACACACAAGUCUGAACUGUGCAUACAUUUCAGAGAGUGGGUCUGGAAAGCUUCUUGAUGAACGCAAGUCAGGGGCCUUUGCCAAUAAUGCCAGAGCCCGCAGGCCUGGCCAGCACUCUGCGUGCGCUGUGUGCCGGGCACAUACCGAGUGCUUCAUUGCUUCCCGGCCUCCCUGAGAGGGAUGUUCUAUGGUCACCCCCAUUUUCUGGAGGAGGAAACUGAGACUUUUCUGGGGGUGCAAUAUUAAGUCACUUGUCCAAGGUCACAGGGCUAGAGUGUGUCUGAGCCCCCAGAUCCCAACCCAGGCCAUCUGAUUCUGGGCCAGAAGCGUCCUAAGUGGAAGGUGGCUCAUCCUCCCCAAACCCCCAUGUCUUCCCUGGAUCAUCGUGUCAUCACUUACCGACUCCGCUGAGCCCUCCCCUCCCCUGGCAGGAAGCCAGUCUCUGUUUAGCCCUGUUCUCUGUUCUGCGCAGUCUUGACCAUCGCCCGCUGAGGAUGGUGGUCCUGAGGGUGACGCCUUGGGUGGGGUAGGGGUGACGGCUGGGUCUCUAGGUUUCCCCACAGGCUCUCCCAGACCCUCCUCCCCUCCCCCCGCCCCCCUCGGUUUCCUGCGUCACUCUGUUUGAAGGGCAGCAGAGGGGCAGCUGGCAGGCCCCUGUCCUUAUCACGGGCUCGUGUUUGCCAGAGCUCCCCAUGUCGUGCUUGGGGCUGCCACAGGCACGUGCCCCCAGUGAACCCCGCUUUUCUCUCCUGGGCACCCCCCUCGCAGGCGAAGCUGGUCCGGUACAUUUGCAAGCAGCGGCAGUGCAAGCUGAGCGUGGCCCCCGGGGAGAGGCCCUCCGAGCUCAACAGCUACCCUCGCUUCAGCGACUGGCUGUACACCUUCAACGUGAGGCCGGAGGCAGUGCAGGUACGUGGGCCGGGCCGUGGGGGCUGGGGCUUGGGGGGUCAUGCGAGGGAACCACACCCAAACCUGAGAACUAGCUCCCCCCAUGGCUACAACAGAGGGGAAGGGGACGUGGAGGCGGGGGCAUAGGUGGUGGCAGCAGGAGGGACCCAGGGUAAAUGUGGCUCCGCAUGUGUCCUGGGCCCCAUCGCCUUCUGAGCCGGACAGCCGGACCACACCAUGCACAGGUUCGCACUUCUGGAAAUGUUGGCUGUGCCGCAGACCCUGAGUUAAGCAUUCUGUGUAGAUAAUCUCACUUAAUUCUCACAAAACUCUGUGAAGGCGUUGCUAUCAUGAUGGCCAUUUUAUACAUGACAACAUUAAAGGAUAGGACGGUCAAAUAACUUUUUAAAAUCGUACACAUAGUGAUGAUAGCUUUGGAAUUUGGAAGCAAGGGUCUGUGUGUAGCUUUCUCCUGCGACCGCAAUAACAUACUGUCUUCCCUCCUUUGCUCCCUCUUCCCACCCAUCCAGUCUACCCACCCACCUAUCUGCUAACCAACUAAUCCAGCCGUAUUCACGGAGAGUGGCGGGGGUCAGGGGCCAGGGGUCAGGGGUCAGAACAUAUCUCAUGGGGCAUCAAUAAAACAGUGCUUGGAAGGUGCGGUCGUACACCCAGCCAGGUCUUUUAAAUCUCUUAUUUCUAUUCUAAAAUUUAAAAAAUCAACACUUAUUAUUGUUUUAAAAGUAAUAUGAAUUCAUUUAUAAAGAUGCUUUGGAAAACAGAAAAAUGAGGGGGAAAAAUCACAUGCAUAUUCCCACCACUCAGAAAAUCUGUGAUCAGUAAGAUUUUGAUAUUUCCUUCUAGUCUCUCUCUCUUUUUUUAACCCUAAUACUUAAGUUUUUUAAAAAGUCCCUAAAGGGUUAGACCUUUGCCAUCUGGCCAAUAUUACAUAUUUGGAAUGUGGCAAGUCCCCAUUGAGAUGUGUUAUGAUUUCAAAGAUGUAAAUUCAAAGAUGUGCUGAAUUCUGAAGACCAGAUACAGAAAAAAGAAAAUAUUAAUCGCUUUUAAUAUUUAAUCUGUUAGAUGAUGACACUAGUUUGGAUAUAUUAAGGUAAAUAAAAUGUGAUUAAAAUUAAUUUUAUGUAUAUUUACUUUUUAAAAUGUGGCUACUCAAAAAUGAAAAUUUAAGCGUGUGGCUUGCAUUGUAUUUCUGUUGGGCAGCACUAGUUUAAACUAUCCUGAAGAGGAGUUCCCGUCGUGGCUCAGCGGAAAUGAAUCUGACUAGGAAUCAUGAGGUUGCAGGUUCGAUCCCUGGCCUUGCUCAGUGGGUUAAGGAUCCGGCAUUGCCAUGAGCUGUGGUGUAGGUCGCAGAUGCAGCUCGGAUCCCGCGUGGCUGUGGCUGUGGUGUAGGCCGGUGGCUACAGCUCCAAUUUGACCCCUAGCCUGGGAACCUCCAUAUGCCUCAGGUGUGGCCCUAAAAGAAAAAAAAAAAAAAAAA